rnacentral:rRNA from 1 species
CGAAGGUUGGCUAAUCCUGGUCGGACAUCAGGAGGUUAGUGCAAUGGCAUAAGCCAGCUUGACUGCGAGCGUGACGGCGCGAGCAGGUGCGAAAGCAGGUCAUAGUGAUCCGGUGGUUCUGAAUGGAAGGGCCAUCGCUCAACGGAUAAAAGGUACUCCGGGGAUAACAGGCUGAUACCGCCCAAGAGUUCAUAUCGACGGCGGUGUUUGGCACCUCGAUGUCGGCUCAUCACAUCCUGGGGCUGAAGUAGGUCCCAAGGGUAUGGCUGUUCGCCAUUUAAAGUGGUACGCGAGCUGGGUUUAGAACGUCGUGAGACAGUUCGGUCCCUAUCUGCCGUGGGCGCUGGAGAACUGAGGGGGGCUGCUCCUAGUACGAGAGGACCGGAGUGGACGCAUCACUGGUGUUCGGGUUGUCAUGCCAAUGGCACUGCCCGGUAGCUAAAUGCGGAAGAGAUAAGUGCUGAAAGCAUCUAAGCACGAAACUUGCCCCGAGAUGAGUUCUCCCUGACUCCUUGAGAGUCCUGAAGGAACGUUGAAGACGACGACGUUGAUAGGCCGGGUGUGUAAGCGCAGCGAUGCGUUGAGCUAACCGGUACUAAUGAACCGUGAGGCUUAACCUU